rnacentral:tRNA from 1 species
UGUCAAGGGAUGCGAAUCGAGCCCACGACCUUCCGCUUACCGGGCAGAUGCCAUGACCACUAGGCUACCCUGGAC